AAUGAUAAUGAAGAUGAGCAAACAGAUAUCGAUACAGAGGUCUUAAUAGAAAAGGUUGAAGAGCAAAUUCCAGAGAAUGUUGAUAAAAAGGAAGAUGAUCAAGAUAGCAAAAAAAAGUCUUCCAAAGCUAGCAAAGAUAAGGAUGCAUAUUCUAAACAUACGAAAUUAAUAAUCGAGCAAGCAAUAGAUGAAAAGGUUGAACAGGCUCCUAUAUUGAGGCAAAAAUUUGGUAUAAGAAAUAAAAAGUUAAAAUUUGCUAAAGGUAACAACAUAUCAAGGGAAGUUACCAUAACAGAUAAAAUUACGGUUAGGGAGUUGUCUAUUCGCAUGGCAGAAAAUAGCAAAAAUGUCUUAAGGA